ACGGAAGGCAGCAGUGGGGAAUAUUGGGCAAUGGGCGAAAGCCUGACCCAGCAACGCCGCGUGAAGGAAGAAGGUCUUCGGAUUGUAAACUUCUUUUAUGAGGGACGAAGGACGUGACGGUACCUCAUGAAUAAGCCACGGCUAACUACGUGCCAGCAGCCGCGGUAAUACGUAGGUGGCAAGCGUCAUCCGGAUUUACUGGGUGUAAAGGGCGCGUAGGCGGGAAGGCAAGUCAGAUGUGAAAUCCAUGGGCUCAACCCAUGAACUGCAUUUGAAACUGUCAAACUAGAGUGCAGGAGAGGUAAGUGGAAUUCCUAGUGUAGCGGUGAAAUGCGUAGAUAUUAGGAGGAACACCAGUGGCGAAGGCGGCUUACUGGACUGUAACUGACGUUGAGGCUCGAAAGCGUGGGGAGCAAACAGGAUUAGAUACCCUGGUA
rnacentral:rRNA from 1 species